rnacentral:rRNA from 1 species
CCCGCUGGAACUUAAGCAUAUCAAUAAGCGGAGGAAAAGAAACUAACAAGGAUUCCCCUAGUAACUGCGAGUGAAGCGGGAAAAGCUCAAAUUUAAAAUCUGGCGGCUUUGGUCGUCCGAGUUGUAUUCUAGAGAAGUGUUUUCCGCGUUGGACCGUGUACAAGUCUCUUGGAACAGAGCGUCAUAGAGGGUGAGAAUCCCGUCUUUGACACGGACUACCAAUGCUUUGUGAUGCGCUCUCAAAGAGUCGAGUUGUUUGGGAAUGCAGCUCAAAAUGGGUGGUAAAUUCCAUCUAAAGCUAAAUAUUGGCGAGAGACCGAUAGCGAACAAGUACCGUGAGGGAAAGAUGAAAAGCACUUUGGAAAGAGAGUUAAACAGUACGUGAAAUUGCUGAAAGGGAAACGCUUGAAGUCAGUCGCGUUGUCUAGAACUCAGCCAGGUUUACUUGGUGCAUUUUCUAGUUAACGGGCCAGCAUCAGUUUUGACUGCAGGAAAAAGGCUAGAGAAAUGUGGCAUCUUCGGAUGUGUUAUAGUCUCUGGUUGCAUACUGUGGUUGGGAUUGAGGCUCUCAGCACGCUUUUGUUGUGCUUAGGAUGCUGGCGUAAUGGCUUUAAACGACCCGUCUUGAAACACGGACCAAGGAGUCUAACAAAUCUGCGAGUAUUUGGGUGGUAAACCCGAGUGCGCAAUGAAAGUGAAAGUUGGGAUCUCUGUCGUGGAGAGCACCGACGCCCGGACCAGACCUUUUGUGACGGAUCUGCGGUAGAGCAUAUUUGUUGGGACCCGAAAGAUGGUGAACUAUGCCUGAAUAGGGUGAAGCCAGAGGAAACUCUGGUGGAGGKCUCGUAGCGAUUCUGACGUGCAAAUCGAUCGUCAAAUUUGGGUAUAGGGGC